UACGUAGGUGGCAAGCGUUGUCCGGAAUUAUUGGGCGUAAAGCGCGCGCAGGCGGUUCUUUUAAGUCUGGUGUCUAAGUGCGGGGCUCAACCCCGUGAUGCACUGGAAACUGGGGAACUUGAGUGCAGAAGAGGAGAGCGGAAUUCCACGUGUAGCGGUGAAAUGCGUAGAGAUGUGGAGGAACACCAGUGGCGAAGGCGGCUCUCUGGACUGUAACUGACGCUG
rnacentral:rRNA from 1 species